GGUCAGAAACAGAUGGCUAAGCUGGGAACCUUAUAGAAGGCACAUUCAAUUUGCGGUAGUGUGUGAACCAGAGUUUGCAGGAGUUAGCUAAGCCUGUUUCUCCGCCUCAAAAGAUUGGGCAGGGAGGAGCUGACAGCCAAGUAGGGUGGAAAAGUGAGGCUGGGAGGAAAGAGGGAAAUCCUUGGCUUCUUCCUAAGACUGCUUGGUCUCUGCAGGUGGAUGUCAGUACCUGGUACUUGAGGCAAGUAGCAGGAGAAAUGAUGGAGGGGGAAAGGGUGUUUCUGGAGCUGUCUUCCUGCCUCUGGUUUUAGGAGAGUAAUUCCCCCACUCUGGUGUCAUCAUCAAAGCAGUCCCCAGGAUCCCAGUAAAUACCAGACAGGAAAACAGAGGGUUGGAAAGACAGGAAGACCAGGCGCCAACCACCCACCAGCAAGCAGCAGUGAGAGGUUUUUCUUUCUUCCAACUCAGCCAGCAAGCCACAGCACCCCAAAGUAGUUGGGGAAACACAUGAUCUCUGUGGUUGUGAGGACUGAAUACAUGAAUGGUUUGAAGGCCGAAUGGGGUGACACACAGAGCUGUAAUCCCAGCACUCAGGAGGCUGAGGCAGGAGGAUCACUGCAAGU